rnacentral:lncRNA from 1 species
AAAUUUGCUCAAUGUCGCAUGCUAGGUUAUGUUGUUACUCUGCGUUCGUCGUGUGUCUGAAUAAUAAUACUAAUAUAAAAAAGAAGAUGUGAUCUAAUUGCCAAUGAGACAACUCUCCUCAAGAACCCAAAUGACCGUGACAGAAAUUAAAAAAACUAUUGGUCACCACACGGUCUUAAAUAAUGAACAAAGCCCAUUCCGCAAAGUCAGCUUAAAAAGGUCCUGAAAUGUCAAAUGUAAAACAAUUCAAACGAGAAAACUAACGGCCCUAUUCAUGUACAAAAAUUAAUGAAAAAAAUAUGUAACACUUCGACAAGCGACAACCAUUGAAUGACAAGCUUGGUACAGGCAGAUACAUAAUUUGGCCCGGGUUAAACAUGUUAGCAGGAUCCCAACCCUCCCCUAACCUGGGACAGUGGUGUAACAUUACAACAUAGGGAACGAACUAUGAAAAUCAGUUGAAAGAGGCUUAACUCAUCCGAUGGAUACAAUCAGAAAUACUACACAGAGUGGACAUGGCUGGGUACCUGUAUAUCCCAUACAACAACAAAAAUAAAUACCAACUUAGUACAGAAGACACGUUUGAAAAAAAAGAAAAGAAAAACAAACUUAAUAUAGAUUUCAAAAAUACAUACUCGCUAUGAUAAGAAAAAAAAUUGUAAGGUCUCGCCCACUUUUUAUAUCAAUGGCAGGCGCAACAAAAAUGAGCAAAAAAAUCAAUAAAAUAUUCCUCUCGAUACUAUCUUUUGAUUGCAAGAAGCUUCUGUCCAAGUUUGGUAAAAAUCUAGGAUAGUUUAAGAAAGUUAUGAGAAUUUAAAAAAAAUUAACCACUGAGUGAAUGUAAGUCCAUUUAUAAGUAAAAUACGGAAAAAGUGUAACAAAUUUACUUAUGGAUACUAUCUUAAUAUCAUAAAUAAGCUUCUGUCCAUGUUUGGUAGAAAUCCAUGACAGUUUAAGAAAGUAAUUAAAAUUUUAAAAACUUUAACCACAGAGCAAUGUCAUGUUUCCCGGCAGAA